UCUGACAAGAGCGAAAUACAACACUGCAUUGAAGUUCUUUAUGGUUUGAUGGACGAUCUUUUGGAGAAUAAAUGAAAACAGAUAUAUUUUAUUUUGUUGCUAAUCAUUUUCGAGACAAAAAUAAUGGUCAUUGGCUUUUGUGUUUUUUUUAUUAACUCAGCAAAAAUGCUCAAUAAAUUAAAACCCAUGUACUCUCCACAUAUCUCACUCUCUUUCCAUUGGUUAUUUUAUCAGUCGGAGAGUGAGUGUUUAUUUUAAUGGAAUUAACAAAGCAGCAGCAGCAACAACAAAUACCAAAGCACAUACACACAACCACUUGGAAAUUAUGACAUUAUUUUAAGCAGCAGCCAACCGUAGUGUGAAGUAAUAAAGUGAAAUUUUUUUAUUAUACUUUUGGUUUUUUUUCGACAACUACAAAAUUUAAGAUAUUUCAAAAGGUGAGGCGCACCCGAUUUCCUGACUAGGUGUUGUUGUUGGUUGUUUGGUAUCUGUUUUAUUUGAAACACACACAACUGCUGCUUUGGUGCGCACGCGCUUUGUAUGGCAUUGUGACGAUAUAACAGCUGAUCGUAAACACAACAAUCUUUGUCAUUAUCAUCAUUGGAUUGUUGCUGCUGUUGCUGUCAGUCAAUAAAAUCUGAGAACGGGAGCAACAACAACAAGAAGAAACUACAUCAAUAUCUCAGAAAUUUUAAAGG